CCGCAUGGUCCUCUGGGAAAGAUUCAUCGGUAUGGGAUGGGGUCGCGUCCUAUCAGCUUGAUGGCGGGGUAACGGCCCACCAUGGCUUCGACGGGUAGCCGGCCUGAGAGGGCGACCGGCCACAUUGGGACUGAGAUACGGCCCAGACUCCUACGGGAGGCAGCAGUGGGGAAUAUUGCACAAUGGGCGCAAGCCUGAUGCAGCGACGCCGCGUGCGGGAUGACGGCCUUCGGGUUGUAAACCGCUUUUGACUGGGAGCAAGCCCUUCGGGGUGAGUGUACCUUUCGAAUAAGCACCGGCUAACUACGUGCCAGCAGCCGCGGUAAUACGUAGGGUGCAAGCGUUAUCCGGAAUUAUUGGGCGUAAAGGGCUCGUAGGCGGUUCGUCGCGUCCGGUGUGAAAGUCCAUCGCUUAACGGUGGAUCCGCGCCGGGUACGGGCGGGCUUGAGUGCGGUAGGGGAGACUGGAAUUCCCGGUGUAACGGUGGAAUGUGUAGAUAUCG
rnacentral:rRNA from 1 species